GGACACCGUUGAUGUGGCUGGAGACCCUGGCACACAGGGAAGAGAACUGAUCUUUCAUUACAUAGCAUCUGCUGGCCCUUCUCUUUGACCUUGAAUUUUGAGCCUGAUUCUGACGGAACUAUCACAGAGUUUAGCAAGUUGCCCUGAAAUGGCAUGGGAUACAUUCUCCAACACCAAGGCACACUAGGUUAUUCAAAACUAUUGAUAAGGGUGAAACCAACCCUUUGGCUUCAACCUUUUAGGUUGGUGCAUAAUUUAGAUGCUUACUGUACCAAUAAGGAUGAAGGCAUGCAAAAGUUUAUUGUAUCUCCUCCGAGUUUACUUGAGCAUAUAAAGUAUUUCCUGUCACCUAUAAUAUCAUUUUAAGCCAUUUUAGGAAUUAUCAGUACCCUUUCAACACAUGACAUGGACAACUGGCUUGAUUUUCAAAUCAGCAAAGUAGAAAUCUGCUGUAAAUUCAAUAAGAAACAAAUUAGAGUAUGUUAUUUAAGACUUGAAAGUUUGAUGCAUAGUGCACUGAGAAAACCAGUAUAAUAACUGCAGUUACAUUUUACAGUGUAUAUCUAUACCACACACAUGUAGCAAGCAAAGGGAACAUCUUUUUUCUUCUGUCAUCUCCCUAAAAACACAUUGGAGUCCUCUGCAGUGUUUUGUGCUUCAUCCUGUGGCAUGAAGGAAUAAGGAUAUAUUCUUUAUGAUGUUUGAAGAGGACAGCAUGGGGAGGUACGCUCAUAUAUUUGAAGUGUGCCAAAGCUUUCCUCUUUCCUCCUCCUCACAGCAUCAGUUCUGAUCCAACAGUGAUGUGACUCCUCCUCAGUCGUUCUCUUGGUAUUUAGCUGCUGAGAUCAAGAUUUGGGCUAUAGAUGCAAAGAACUGAAAUGUUCAUUGUAGUUUGUAUGAAAGAAGAAGUCGAAUUGUACUGACUCUCUUUCUUCUGGCGGAGUCAGGUGAUGAAGAUCCAUGUUUGCAUCUUCUUCAAAGAAGUGAGUUUCCUGUUUGGGUUGGAGGGAAGGCAGCCUUUAUUCACAUAUAUAGUUAGAAAAAUUUAGAAUGAGCCAAUUGAGUGGUUGGUGAUUAAAUUUACAGUGGUACCUCGGAUUACAUAUGCCUCAGGUUACAUCCGCUUCAGGUUACAGACUCCACUAACCUGGAAAUAGUACCUCAGGUUAAGAACUUUGUUUCAGGAUGAGAACAGAAAUUGUGCUCUGUUGGCGCAGCGGCAGCAGGAAGCCCCAUUAGCUAAAGUGGUGCUUCAAGUUAAGUUUCAGGUUAAGAACAGACCUCCAGAACGAAUUAAGUACUUAACCUGAGGUACCACUGUAUGUCAGGUUCAACAGGGGCAGAAGUCCAGCUGACAUUAUCACAGACUGCAGUGGACACUGGCUGAUUUAGGGCAAUGGAUGCAAAUUAAAUUUUGGGAUGUUAUUAGAAGGUUCACACAGAAUACAUACAGAAAUAAAUUAUUAUUUUCUUAUUUCAGAGGUAGCUUUUAACAGGUGUGGGAAUUUCAUGUCAGAGGAAAAGGCUUAUUUUUAUUUUUGCUUUCAAUAGUCACCUUUGUCUAGUAGCAUCCAUUUGACUCCAACCUGCAUGUUGGCAGGAAUCUGAACUGUCCUUCCACAGGUGUUUCUCUUCCUUUUCAGAUGAUAAUCUACACUUUAUUCUUCACUCAUUUCUGAAUGGUGAGAAAAAAUAACAAUAAUUGAGCUAUUUCAGAGUGUCACUAUCUUCAUUAUAGAUGUUAGAUCAUUUUCCUCAAUAUUUUCAGUAAUAAGGCUGAGGACUUAUUUCAAUGAAACAGGUUUCUAGACCACACAGAGUGGGGCAGAGAGGAGGAAGGAUUUUUAUUUGAAAGUCAUACUUAAAAUCAAGGAACGGCUCUGAAUUUUUGCUGCGAACACAUUUGAACAUAAGAACAGCAUUUUAGGUUAUGUUUGAAAAUAUGACACACACCCUACCAAAAAUGUUUUAUGUUGUUUCUGUUAGCUGUUGUCCAGUCAUCAUUCCAUCUGUCUUCUACACCUCUUCUAAAACCUUUAUCUUCUUUCUCCAUUCCACACAUAAUUCCAUAAACUACUAUCAUAUCAUCUCUUACUUGCCUUUUUUCUAAAUUGAAAGUCCCAAAUGCCACCACCUUUAUUCAUAGGGGAGUCCCUGUAUCCCUUCGAUCAUUUUGGUUGUCCUUUGCUCCCUAAUCCAACAUUUUACAGGGAGAAUAGCUUCUCAUCUGGCCAGUGCAAGGGGCUUUGCUAAUAGCACUUUCAGAUUCAUUCACACAGUUUAUAAGUACUCCCAAGCUUAGAAGAAAAGCAGCCAGUUGAAAUAUGGUCGUAAACUGUUAAUGAAUUUAUGAAAGGUGUGCCUGUUUACCUCAUUAGAGAGGUGUGAAUUCUCCUUUCUUUCAGGGGCAUUUUUCAGUUUGCAUCUUCUGUAAAAAUCUUCAGGAAAAACAACACCCUCCCCCUUUUGAACCAGCCCUGUAGAAGCCAUAGCCGCUGAAAUGACUAAAGCACGACUUUUUUCUUUCGCUGGGAUUUUUGUACAAUUGGGUUGGCAGCCCUGUAUAUCUUUAAUGGCCAUGCUACCUAGAGCUGCCGUUGUUGCUAUUAGCAGCAGGUAUUCUGCUCUCAUACCAGUUACCGGUUUUAUUCUUUUGUUUUUCACCUCAGAUGGUGCCUUUCUUUUGGCUGUUUAAUGGCAACUUUGCAACAGAACUCUAUGAGGCAACCUAUCCCCGAACACUUCUUUAGCCCUGUGCAGAGACAUCUAAGAGCUUUUCUCCCUGAGUUCCCAGCAGGAGUUUCCUACUUGCUUUGUAUGUUCCAGCUAACACAAAUGUACUUAGGUCCUGACUCCAUUGCUAGGAGCCAGUCUAAUGAGCUGUCACAUGGAGACGCUAAUGGCAAGGCAGACUGUUUGCAUGAUCCCACCUUUACAGUCCACAUAAUGUUGCAGGUCUUAGACUCUAACUUUAGUAUAUUUGUUAUAUUUUAAAGUAUAUUAUAUAUGUUGUUUGCAUGCAAAGGUACCGUAUCUUUCCAUGUAUAACACGCCCUCGUGUAUAAGACGCCCCCUCUUUUUUGAGACUAAAAAUUGAGAAAAUGGGGGGAAAUUGCCCAGAGCUUUUUUUCAGGGAGGGGAUUGCACAGACUCAUUGAGCUUUGGGUGGGGGAGGGGAGUUGCUGAAAAUCGCUUACCCAUGAAGCCACCAAGUGUCUGAACACUUGCUGAGAGCAAGCACCAAUCGCCCGCCCUAUUGCCGCAGCUGCCAAUAGCCAGUGGACCUUGCUACACCCACCAAUAACCCACAAAAAGGCCACUGACAAUCUCCUACUCGCGGCAGCCACCAAUCUUCCAUCCCAACUCUCCACUAUUCGUGUAUAAGACAAGCCCCAAUUUUUAGCAUAAUUUUUAAAUAAAACAACGUCUUAUACACGGAAAAAUAUGGUAUCUUCUUGCAUGUGCUAUCAGAUCCAUUGUGAUGUAGCUCCGUGUCCACAACUUAAUGAGCUUAAGGCUGCCAUUUUUCAAGUGCUCAUGAGAUCUGAAUAGAUUUUGUUACUUCCAAGCUGUGGAUACACUGGUUUUUCUCCUCCUCUAAUUGCCCUUUAUUCAUGUUACAUUUAGCAAGUCGCUAUAUGCUCAGACUGCUUCAGUCUGUGAUUUGGGUUCCAAUCUGCUUUGUUUUCCCUAUUCACUUGCAUGGCAAGUUUUCGGUGGGGAGGGAGAAACUAUAACUUUUUUACCAUUUGGAAAAUCUGCAGGAAAAGCUUUGCCAUGCUUCUUGGUAAUACUGGAAGUCUGUGGUGAGGUGUGUUUGUGUCGUUUGUGUUUUGGGUGUGUAUCCAUCCAUGUCACAUCAGAUGUACACUUCCUCAAACUGGCACAAAGCAGAUGUGGGAAGAAAUGUGACAUGAAUGGCCUUCCAUUUCACCACAAACUUCCAAUGCUAAUUAAUGGCAAUAAAUGAACAUGUGCUACAUUUGAGUGCAGCUUCUGGCUGCAUAGAAUAUGCUCAAUAUUAUUAAUAUUACCAUUUAUUAAAUUUGUAUACCACCCUUCUGUUCUGUCCCUGAAUUAUAGCUUUAGACACUUCACUUUAAUAGAUGCAAGCAUCUCUUGAGAGAUUCAAGGGUGUUUGGCAUAAAAUAGUUGAAAUAUUGCGGAAUAAGGAUGGUUGGCUAUGAAAACAAUCAGGACGUGUGGCUAUUGUGAUAUUACAUAAUGCAUCUUCAUGUAAGCAUGACACAUUGAAAACUGACUGAAUUGCAGAAAGGCUUCCAGAAUUUUCAGAUCAGGAUGUGGAUUUGACAGAUCUAGAGUGAAUGAGUAGAAUUCUAAACUACUCUCAACUGACCAUUUCAUCUGCUGUCUCAAAAGAGUUGUGCUCCUUUCCCAUUAUAUAGGUAAAGCUCAUGUAGUGGAAUCAUAAAUAUUGUGUAGGAAACCAGAAAUAUAAUAAACACCCAUUUUAUCUACCAUGAUAGCAGAUAUUCCAAUAUACUAGGGGUAUGCAGUGACCACCAGAUUCAAAUUCUGUCUGUAUUUGUAGUGUUUGGAAACAAAAUGACCUGUUUCAGGGCUGCUGUGUGUCAUUCCAAUUCAAUUUGUUAUUCAGGUCCUAAAUUGAUAUGUUAAACCCAAAAAAGAGAACAGUAGCAUGUGCUUCCUCAUUUCUUACUACAGCUGGUUAGCCAUAUCCUAUUGGUUAGCCAACUGUGGAAUGAGUCAUGUAACCAUUUUUUUGAAGUGAUGGAGGCAUCACAAAGUGACUCUCAACCUCAAUAUACAAGUAGUAAAAUAGCCUUUUAAAAAAAGGAUAUUCCACAUGACCAAAUCACUACUUGUCACCCUCUGAUAAAUUGCUGAGCACAUUUCAGAACUUAAAAUCCAAAUCCUUUUUGUUUUUAGACAAUCAGGUUGCCUAUUCCAGGGCUGCUGAAAAACUGCACUUUGGGUAUUUGUUGGAUUUUCAUAUCAGGCAAUAUAUGCAGCCAAAGGCAUAGAAGUGGAAUUCUCAUAUAUCCAGGAAUUGGGCAACAGUUUCCUCUCUUUGUGCCAGAUCACUGAUAUGUGAAAAAUAAGCCCUGAGGUCCAAUUCAGAAUCCUUUUCUGUUCAGCAUGCAGUGGGAACUCUGGAAGAAAGCUCAUUUGAGAUGAAUCAUUUGACAUCCAAAUGGGAAUUCUGCAAGACAGAUGAAUUUUCCUUGAAAAUUUCACACCAUCCCUGGUUCCAUGUCACAUUUAGUGCUCAGGUUUCUGAUUGCAGAUGAGUCUCGUUUAAAUCUUACACUGCUCCUUAUGCUACAUGACAUCAGCACUGUUGUUUCAACAUAUAAUUGGCUAUGCUGAAUAGAUGUUUUAAUGGUGAAACUAAAAUCUGAUAUUAUCACGAUCAUAUUGUGAUCAUGGUGUUUGUUUUAUUAGUCUGGUUUAACAUUUUCUUUCACUAUUGUUACGAAUUUUGAAGUCUUUUCAUUUCUUUCACUUUGGUGAAUCAGCACCCUCUCUGCAUCUGUUGAAUUGUGAAGAAUGUGGAUACAUUAACCUAGAAAAGGUCUACCUUUCUAACAUUAUGACAAGUAUUUGUAAAUGCUUCAAAUUCCCAGAUGCCAGCACCUUUCAGAUCUACUGAAAUUCAAACUUUUAGGCUUCUGCACUACCAAGAAUUUGGAAAUUCUCUUGUCAAACAGCUCAAUCUCAUAUUUCCUAUUUCUGCCUUUCCUUUAAAUUCAUUUCAUGCGUUGCAUGAAUAGGCUAGUCUUUCCAAUGAUCAAGACGUAUGGCAGUUGUAGUCCAAAACAUCUAGAGGCAAGAGGUUAGGGAAAGCUGGAAUAAAGUGUUUACAUGUGUGUUUCCUGAGCUCUGUACUAGUAAUAGGAACCCUCCAUUUGAAGUAACAGCUCUACCAAGAUUCAUGCAGUUUUUAUGUGGUCAAAAAUGAGUUCAAUAUAUGCAAAUAAUCAGCUUUUCAUUGAUCCACAUUGAGACCAAGGUGACCAUAGUGGCUAGGAGGGUGUAUUUCCAGCUCCAGCCCUUCACCAGCUAAAGCUUUUCCUGCACAGGGAUGCAUACUUUGGCAACUUCCAUAUUAGACUGUUGCAGUACUUUUUAGGUGGGGAUUGCCUUUGAAUAUUAUUCAGAACCUGCAAAUAGUACAGAAUGCUAGUCACAAAGUUUUAACGACGUAGUUGAAGGGGAAAUAAGCUAUGAUCUUCAAAAGACAAUCUACCAGUGGUUGUAACUUUGUAAACCAUAUUAAUAUUUAUGACAAUUUUAUGUCACUUUCCAGCACUUGCAAUUUUUU